rnacentral:tRNA from 1 species
GCUAAGGUCUGCUACAUAAGCAAUUGGGCUCAUGCCCCAAAAACGGUAAACCUCUACCCCCUAGCA